rnacentral:misc_RNA from 1 species
GAUGAAGAACGCAGCGAAAUGCGAUACUUGGUGUGAAUUGCAGAAUCCCGUGAACCAUCGAGUCUUUGAACGCAAGUUGCGCCCGAAGCCAUUAGGCCGAGGGCACGCCUGCCUGGGCGUCACACGUCGUUGCCCCCCCCAUCUACUCCUUCGGGAUUGCGGGGGGCGGAUGAUGGCCUCCCGUGCGCCUCGCCGCGCGGUUGGCAUAAAUGCCAAGUCCUCGGCGACGCACGCCACGACAAUCGGUGGUUGCGAAACCUCGGUUGCCCGUCGUGUGCGGUCGUCGCGCAUCGAGGGCUCGAAAAAAUUGCCGAGUUCCGGCUCGGCUUUCAACGCGACCCCAGGUCAGGCGGGGUUACCCGCUGAAUUUAAGCAUAUCAUAAGCGGAGGA